rnacentral:rRNA from 1 species
CCGAGUCUUAACUGGGCGUUAAGUUGCAGGGUAUAGACCCGAAACCCGGUGAUCUAGCCAUGGGCAGGUUGAAGGUUGGGUAACACUAACUGGAGGACCGAACCGACUAAUGUUGAAAAAUUAGCGGAUGACUUGUGGCUGGGGGUGAAAGGCCAAUCAAACCGGGAGAUAGCUGGUUCUCCCCGAAAGCUAUUUAGGUAGCGCCUCGUGAAUUCAUCUCCGGGGGUAGAGCACUGUUUCGGCAAGGGGGUCAUCCCGACUUACCAACCCGAUGCAAACUGCGAAUACCGGAGAAUGUUAUCACGGGAGACACACGGCGGGUGCUAACGUCCGUCGUGAAGAGGGAAACAACCCAGACCGCCAGCUAAGGUCCCAAAGUCAUGGUUAAGUGGGAAACGAUGUGGGAAGGCCCAGACAGCCAGGAUGUUGGCUUAGAAGCAGCCAUCAUUUAAAGAAAGCGUAAUAGCUCACUGGUCGAGUCGGCCUGCGCGGAAGAUGUAACGGGGCUAAACCAUGCACCGAAGCUGCGGCAGCGACGCUGAUGCGUUGUUGGGUAGGGGAGCGUUCUGUAAGCCUGCGAAGGUGUGCUGUGAGGCAUGCUGGAGGUAUCAGAAGUGCGAAUGCUGACAUAAGUAACGAUAAAGCGGGUGAAAAGCCCGCUCGCCGGAAGACCAAGGGUUCCUGUCCAACGUUAAUCGGGGCAGGGUGAGUCGACCCCUAAGGCGAGGCCGAAAGGCGUAGUCGAUGGGAAACAGGUUAAUAUUCCUGUACUUGGUGUUACUGCGAAGGGGGGACGGAGAAGGCUAUGUUGGCCGGGCGACGGUUGUCCCGGUUUAAGCGUGUAGGCUGGUUUUCCAGGCAAAUCC